AUAGAUUCUUGGUUUGUAAGCCUAUUUUAAUUAGGCAACUUAAGUUUGUAUUGCAUAUUGUAUAUUCAACUUUUGUACCAUUUUUAAGUCUUACGCAUUUUAUAUAGAGAAAUGAAAAUCACAUCUCUGCUGAGAUCAAAACCUGUCUCUUGCGAUUUCCACUACUUGAUGCUAUCUGACUUUCUUUGCUAUUUGAAUGUUGUGUUAUAUUUUCUAGGCUGAUUUUAAAGUUGUGUUUGUAUAGCGCAAAUCAAAUUUCACAUCUAAGAUGUCAUGCAUGGGAUAAAUUUUGGUGGCAAUACCAUUCAUGAAUGGAAAACGUACUUCAGAUAGAACUAAAGUGCACAUUGUUCUUUUUGCUAGUAAUUAAGUGUAUUUCCUGCUCACUUGAGCUUCUCUUAAUGAUAUGUUCAAAUAUCUUGUGUUUAUGUUCAAAUAGCUUGUGUUUGUCCUUGAGUUCGCAUUUCAUCAACUUGCCUUCUCUAAAACAAGGAAAGUUUUAAACCUGGAAAGAUCUUGGCUGAUGCAUUUUUAAGUUUGAUAAUCUUAAUCUACCCUUGCUUUGAUUUCCAUCUUCACUGUGCCUGUUUGAACUGCAAAAGUGCACUGGACAACACCCGCUGUGCAGGAUGGAACACUGAUCCACCCAUUCCUCUCUCGCUCUCACAGUAUGGUCCAUUGAAACACUUUUUGUUGUGGGAGAACCACGGGGGUUGAGGCAUUCUGUAAAUUAUACUGUCUAGUUUGUAAAGUGUGUAAUGUGUACUGCAGAUGUGUAUUCUCUGGGCUCUAUGUAUCUUUACAGUAGUGUUCAAUUUAGGAAAAAAAUAAAUUGUGGACACGUUUUGCUGGUAACAAGGGGAAAUUUUUUGCCAUUGCAUCAAAUGAUGCUGAAAUAUAUUAAACUCUUGAUAGCAGACCCUAACCCUCCUUCCCCCAUCCCAUGGAGAUAAGUCUUUUAUCUUCGUUCUAAAAUUCUAUCAUCUCGGAUGGAUGGAUACACUGGCAGACUGCAUGAUGUAUCAUUCGAAAACCGCUACAGUGGAAAAUAAAAC
rnacentral:lncRNA from 1 species